UCGAAGAUUGAAUCUCGGUGUAGCAGGUAAUGGCGGCCUAUCCUCCAGGAUACAACAACUGGAUCACUCCAAGCGUACACUCGCAGAUGAAGUGACGGUCGAACAGCCCAGAACCGCGCUCUUGGAAUGACAACAGAGAAGAAAACAGGGAGACUCUUCUCGGGAACAAGAAACAGAGAGGCUUUCGGAAACAGAGAGAGGAUAGGUUAGAUUAGAUUACUCUAUCGGAUCUGAUAGGGUUUAAAAAGAAAUGAAGAGGCGUAUUUAAAAGACACGUCGUUUUAUGAAAGAGGUGUUU
rnacentral:lncRNA from 1 species